rnacentral:tRNA from 1 species
GGGCACGUGGCGGAACUGGUAUACGCGUACGAUUCAGAAUCGUAUGCCGCAAGGAUUGAGGGUUCGACUCCCUCCGUGCCCA